rnacentral:rRNA from 1 species
UACGAAGGGGGCUAGCGUUGCUCGGAAUGACUGGGCGUAAAGGGCGCGUAGGCGGUUCAUACAGUCAGGCGUGAAAUUCCUGGGCUCAACCUGGGGGCUGCGCUUGCGACGUAUGGGCUGGAGUGCGGAAGAGGGUCGUGGAAUUCCCAGUGUAGAGGUGAAAUUCGUAGAUAUUGGGAAGAACACCGGUGGCGAAGGCGGCGACCUGGUCCGUGACUGACGCUGAGGUGCGAAAGCGUGGGGAGCAAACAGG